AACGUACGCCUGGCGGCACGCCUAACACAUGCAAGUCGAACGAAGUAGCAAUACUUAGUGGCAGACGGGUGAGUAACAUGUAGGUAUCUGCCCUUUGGCCUGGAAUAACACGAGGAAACUUGUGCUAAUACCGGAUAAGUCUUUACGGAGAAAGCUUUAUGCACCAUUGGAUGAGCCUGCACUUGAUUAGUUUGUUGGUGGGGUAAUGGCCUACCAAGACUGUGAUCAAUAGCUGAUUUGAGAGGAUGAUCAGCCACAUUGGGACUGAGACACGGCCCAAACUCCUACGGGAGGCAGCAGUGGGGAAUCUUGCACAAUGGAGGAAACUCUGAUGCAGCGAUGCCGCGUGAGUGAAGAAGGCCCUUGGGUUGUAAAGCUCUUUCGUCGGGGAAGAAAAUGACUGUACCCGAAUAAGAAGGUCCGGCUAACUUCGUGCCAGCAGCCGCGGUAAUACGAAGGGACCUAGCGUAGUUCGGAAUUACUGGGCUUAAAGAGUUCGUAGGUGGUUGAAAAAGUUAGUGGUGAAAUCCCAGAGCUUAACUCUGGAACUGCCAUUAAAACUUUUCAGCUAGAGUAUGAUAGAGGAAAGCAGAAUUUCUAGUGUAGAGGUGAAAUUCGUAGAUAUUAGAAAGAAUACCAAUUGCGAAGGCAGCUUUCUGGAUCAUUACUGACACUGAGGAACGAAAGCAUGGGUAGCGAAGAGGAUUAGAUACCCUCGUAGUCCAUGCCGUAAACGAUGUGUGUUAGACGUUGGAAAUUUAUUUUCAGUGUCGCAGGGAAACCGAUAAACACACCGCCUGGGGAGUACGACCGCAAGGUUAAAACUCAAAUGAAUUGGCGGGGACCCGCACAAGUAGUGGAGCAUGUGGUUUAAUUCGAAGAUACGCGCAGAACCUUACCAACACUUGACAUGUUCGUCGCGACUCUAAGAGAUUAGAGUUUUCGGUUCGGCCGGACGAAACACAGGUGCUGCAUGGCUGUCGUCAGCUCGUGUCGUGAGAUGUUGGGUUAAGUCCCGCAACGAGCGCAACCCUCACUUUUAGUUGCCAUCAUUUAGUUGGGCACUCUGAAAGAACUGCCAGUGAUAAGCUGGAGGAAGGUGGGGAUGACGUCAAGUCCUCAUGGCCCUUACGUGUUGGGCUACACACGUGCUACAAUGGUAUCUACAACAGGAAGCAAGACUGCGAAGUUAAGCAAAUCCCUAAAAGAUACCUCAGUUCGGAUUGCACUCUGCGACUCGAGUGCAUGAAGCUGGAAUUACUAGUAAUCGUGGAUCAGCGUGCCACGGUGAAUGCGUUCCCGGGUCU
rnacentral:rRNA from 1 species